rnacentral:rRNA from 1 species
GACGAACGCUGGCGGCGUGCCUAAUACAUGCAAGUCGAGCGGAUGGAUGGAAGCUUGCUUCCAGAAGUCAGCGGCGGACGGGUGAGUAACACGUGGGCAACCUGCCCCUAAGAUCGGGAUAACUUCGGGAAACCGGAGCUAAUACCGGAUAUGAUUUUCUUUCACAUGAGAGGAAAUGGAAGGACGGUUUCGGCUGUCACUUAGGGAUGGGCCCGCGGCGCAUUAGCUAGUUGGUGAGGUAACGGCUCACCAAGGCGACGAUGCGUAGCCGACCUGAGAGGGUGAUCGGCCACACUGGGACUGAGACACGGCCCAGACUCCUACGGGAGGCAGCAGUAGGGAAUCUUCCGCAAUGGACGAAAGUCUGACGGAGCAACGCCGCGUGAGUGAAGAAGGUUUUCGGAUCGUAAAACUCUGUUGUCAGGGAAGAACAAGUACCAUAGUAACUGAUGGUACCUUGACGGUACCUGACCAGAAAGCCACGGCUAACUACGUGCCAGCCGCCGCAGUAA